GACAACGACGACAACCCAUUCCAUCAUUGGGUUGUUGAUGAAGAUCGGGGAGAGAAAUUGGAAAGCUAAUACUGUGCCUGUUGGGAGAAGUUUUGAGAGGUUUGCAGAGCUUUUGAAUGUUGUUUUGAAUGCUUGUUGGGUUAGAGUUUUUCGGAGCUCUAGCUUGGGUUCCAACAAUGGAUGAUAUUCUUUGGACCAUUAUUCUUUGGAAUCUAAUAGAGAUGAAUAGAUAAUAUUUUAUCUUUCAAUUCUCAAACUAUUUAAUCAAAGGUAGUGACAUAUGCAGGUAAGUCUGUAAUUGUAUAACGAAGUUCGUAUUCGUAUCUGUUUUUCGAAUUUUCGGAUUCAGAUACCAAAUGAUAUUAAAAAAUUACCAUAUCUGUAAUAUCCGUCAUUAAAAUCUGAAUUCGGUUGAUAAUUUCUGAUUCGGAUAUCCGAAUAAAUAUAAAAUGACUUCCGAAUAUCCGGAUUUUAAAAUGAUUAAUUGACUAUUAAUUAACUUUAUUAAGGGUAAUUUUAUACUUUUAUUUUAAGGUUUUUAUAAAAAGUUACCCGGAUUUGGAUUUUUCGGAUAUCUAAAAAUUUAUUCGAAUUCGGGUUCGAAUUUUUCUAUCAGUAUAUUAUUCGGACGGAUUCAGAUUAUUUGGACAUUAUUCGGUUUCAAAUUCGAAUACCAGGGUAUCUGAAUCGAAUUCGACCGAUAUACAUGCUUAGAUGCAGGAUUUGAAACGACCCAAGAUCAGAUUUUAAGGAUUGAGUUUUUUAAUAUUUUAUAUGAAUUUUUUUUUGAUAAAUUUUCAAAGUAUUUUAAUAAUUCCACAUGAUAUCAAUCUUUAAGGUUAAAAUAUUAAUGAAGUCCUUCAAGUUUAAAAAAAAUUGCAUUGGUUUUCAGAAUUGGACAAAAAAAAACACUCAAUUUUUAUUAUUCAUAGAUCAUCAUACAUUAUUUUAAACAUGCAGUAAAUAUGAUCGUGACUAACAAUAAUCCUCAAUCAUCAACAAUAGCAGUGACAACCUCUGCUAUCAUUCUUACACUCUCCACCUCUGCAGGCUGCUGGACCAGACUGACAAAAACUAUUGCAAGCAUCAUUAGUACAAUGUCCGAUGUUAUUGUUUGAACAACAACUACUGGCGCCUAAGAUGCCAAAUUCAGAAUUUCGAGCCGUGCAACCUGAAGAAAUUGAUCAAGAAACGCACAUGGAUAAAUGAAAUACUGAAACUAUUAAAGCUAGCUAGCUAGUAACAGAGAAAAUAAGAUACAAUGUGCGAUUUAAACUUUCGAUUAUCACCUGUCACAGAAAUCAAGAUCAUCAAAGAAAAAAGAAAUGCUACGAUGUUGGAUCUCAUCAUCUUGAAAAAAUAAAAUGUUUUUUUAUGAAUGAAAAUAUAUUCAAUUCUUAUGAUUUGGUUAUAUUUAUAGAUGCACAGUUGCACACAUACCUAAUCUAAUUUUAGUAAAUAAUAAUGAGAAUAUUUUUUCAAAUUUUAUUCAUAAAUUACAAUUACAAUUAAAAUCAAAAAAUUAAAUUUGGAAAAUUUGAGAAUAAAUUAAAAAAGAUUCUAAUUAAAUAUUUUAUAUAAGUUAUAUUAUUUUCUUGAGAUUUGAAUCACACUGGCUAGGAUAUUGAAUGGACGGUCAAGAUUAAUUAUCUCACAUACUCUAAAUGAUCUAAUGGUUAAUAUUACAUUCCAAAACAUUGCAAUAUUAUAUCUAGUAAUUAAUCAUGAGAAUAUAUUUUCAAAUUUUAUUCAAAAAAUGAAAUUAAAAUCAAGAAGUCAAAUUCGAAUUCUUAAUUACCAUAAUAAAAAAGAUUCUAAUUAAAUUAAUAUUCAAUAUAAAUUAUAUUGAGAUAUCUAGGAAUGGGUCGAGUUUGGCUUGGGUUUGCCCAGACCCGAACCCGAGUUUUGAAAUCGGGUUCGGGUAAAACCCCGAAAACAUCUAAAAUUACAGAACCCGAACCCGAUUUGGAUAUCGGGUUUGGUCAGGUUCGGGUUUGAUAAUUUUUUUUAAAAUUUGUAUAAAAAACUCUGUUAUUUAAAAUAAUUUGAUUAAAUAAGUCUUAAAUAAUUUUUAAAAUCUUAAAUAAUAUAAAACAUCAAAUAAUUUUUAAAUUAUUCUUAGUCAAAGACUCAAAUAUGAAGAUGGAUUCGACGACGGCGAUAACGAAGAAAGGAAAGAUGAAAAUGGAAGAUGGAAGAAAAAUGAUAAUAAUAUUAUGGUUUAUAUUUUAGAAGAAGAGAAGAAAUUUAUUAAAUUUGUAUAUUAAAAUUAUAUAAAAAAUAAAGUUUUUAUAUAUUUUAAGACUUUUUUUAUAAAAAAUAUCAGUUUUCAGGUGAGUAGGGUUUGGUUAGGGUUUUACCUGAACCUGAUCCAAAAAAAUCGGGUGAAAAAAACUCGGGUUUUGGUCAUUGAUAUCGAAAAUAUUCACCCAAAACCCGGACCCAUGCCCACCCAUAGAGAUAUCAUAUUCUCAUCAUAUAUAUUAUUUUCUUGAGAUUUAAAUUUACAUAGGAUGUUGAAUGGAUGGUCAAGAUUAAUUGUCUCAGGGGUGUACCGAAAGAUGAGUUUUCGGGUAGAACCGGACCCAUGCUCAUCAUUUUUGUAUACAUCUAGUAAAAUCUCAACCAUUAAAUCACUCUCCAAAUUGAGAUCGAUCACAUCUAUUCACAAAUCUCGAGGUAAAAAUUAAAUAAAUAAAUGAUAAUGAAAGGAUGAGAUGUUAUAUCUCAUAACAAUCUAAUUUAAGAUAUCUUAAACGAAUCGUUCUCUAACUAUUUAUUAUAUAGAAUAGGGAUGACUUUUCGUUAAUUAUCAAAGUUGGCGACGGUUUAUAGGAGAGUUGUUGCUAAUCCUGUAGAAAAUAUAUUAAUCAGGGAGGGUUUUUAUAAACUGUCUCUAAUCCGUCGUUAGUAUCAAAAAAAAUUCAUAAAAUCCUUUUACAAAUUUAGAGACGGUCAAAAUCCGUCGCUGAAAUUCUGUUUUCUUGUAGUGUAUAAUGUAUGUAUUUGCCCAAUCUGUUUACAACAUUCGAAAUUUAUUUUCUAUUAUUAUUUUUAUUAUCGCUAGCAUCAUGAAAUUUUCACGAAAUCUUUUUUUAGAUUUAGAGACGAUCAGAAUCCGUCCCUAAAAAUCUGUUUUCUUGUAAUGUUUGACAUGAUGAAGGUUCUAAGAAUUUAUCUUGUUGGAUCGUGAUACGAGACUAUAAUUAAGGGAGGAUAAUAACAUCUUUUCAACCGCGUGAAAAGUAUUAGGUCGAAAAGUUUAUUAAUUUGAUGCAUUACGAUGAUUGGAUUGAAUUGGGAUCCCUAAUUUACUCAAUCUCUAUUACUAAGAACUAAAAAUUCGAUAUCGCAUAAUUGAAAUCUGAAAAUGAAGAUCGAUAAAUAUCAGUGUGGAGCGACAGGAAACCCUACACCAUGUCUGGUAGUAGGAAAAACAAUAAACAACACACUGCAAACAAAACCAAUCCCAAAGGGUGCCAUAACCAACACUUCUUUCUCCUUACCAUUUCUACCGGGAAGAAGGCAAUUCACGACAUUCUUAUCAAAUAGGACGACGGCAACGAAUACCAACAAAGACAUGAACGCAUGUACAAAAUCAAUCACUUUAAUCCUAUACUCCUCGACCUUCUCUGUUGGAAGAACAUCUCCAAUGUCUCUUUGGAAAAACCACAUCCCAUUCCUACUAGCCACUCCAUAUUGUACCACACCUUCCUCAUCCUUGUAACUAUCUGUGAAACUUUGGAGAACGCACGAUAAGCCGCAGACAACGACGACAACCCAUUCCAUCAUUGGGUUGUUGAUGAAGAUCGGGGAGAGAAAUUGGAAAGCUAAUACUGUGCCUGUUGGGAGAAGUUUUGAGAGGUUUGCAGAGCUUUUGAAUGUUGUUUUGAAUGCUUGUUGGGUUAGAGUUUUUCGGAGCUCUAGCUUGGGUUCCAACAAUGGAUAUCUUUGUUGUCGGUCGAUGACAUCGAUAACCAUUGUUGUACUACCAGCCAUCUUUGAUUGCUCCUCCUCCUCCUCUUUGAUCUCUUCUCAGUU
rnacentral:lncRNA from 1 species